rnacentral:rRNA from 1 species
UGCCUCGGCGGAUCAGCCCGCUCCCGGUAAAACGGGACGGCCCGCCAGAGGACCCCUAAACUCUGUUUCUAUAUGUAACUUCUGAGUAAAACCAUAAAUAAAUCAAAACUUUCAACAACGGAUCUCUUGGUUCUGGCAUCGAUGAAGAACGCAGCAAAAUGCGAUAAGUAAUGUGAAUUGCAGAAUUCAGUGAAUCAUCGAAUCUUUGAACGCACAUUGCGCCCGCCAGUAUUCUGGCGGGCAUGCCUGUUCGAGCGUCAUUUCAACCCUCAAGCACAGCUUGGUGUUGGGACUCGCGUUAAUUCGCGUUCCCCAAAUUGAUUGGCGGUCACGUCGAGCUUCCAUAGCGUAGUAGUAAAACCCUCGUUACUGGUAAUCGUCGCGGCCACGCCGUUAAACCCCAACUUCUGAAUGUUGACCUCGGAUCAGGUAGGAAUACCCGCUGAACUUAAGCA